rnacentral:rRNA from 1 species
UACAGAGGUCUCAAGCGUUGUUCGGAUUCAUUGGGCGUAAAGGGUGCGUAGGCGGCGCGGUAAGUCGGGUGUGAAAUCUCGGAGCUUAACUCCGAAACUGCAUUCGAUACUGCCGUGCUUGAGGACUGGAGAGGAGGCUGGAAUUUACGGUGUAGCGGUGAAAUGCGUAGAUAUCGUAAGGAAGACCAGUGGCGAAGGCGGGUCUCUGGACAGUUCCAGACGCUGAGACACGAAGGUCAGGGGAGCAAACGGG